GUCAUGGUAACAAAGUAGGAGGCAAGGUUAAGGGAACCAUGCCGCUAGCUCUCGUCAGAUCCUGGUGACUCAAGGCAGCUCUGGUGGUGGCCUUAGUGGGAGGGGCUGGAACAAAGAGUGGUCAGGCUGUAAUUGGCCCAGCUUGAGACACCAUCAGAGGAGUCGCAGAAGCUGAAAUGCACCCAGACCAUCGGAGGAACGGCGAGAUGUCAUUGCUGGACCAUCAGAGAAAGAAUGUCCCAUGCUACCUGGUGGCUGGGAGGGGACAUUGGUGAGCACACGGGAGCCUGGGGGAGGAAGAGCCUCUGCUUGUGGGGUUCCUAAGCACUUAGUCACUGCCUGGAGUCCUCUGCCUCAGACUGCUGUGUCCCAUCUGUGCAACCGGUCAUUCAGGAGCUAUAUAGAGUAAACCUUGAAGCCUGGUGGAGCCACAAGAUGGAAGGAAACGGGGUUCCUGAAUGACCGUAUGGAGCUGUCUGCCAAGAAGCUGAGGUUCAGAGAAGUGGUGACCACCGGACAGAGAUGGCGACAGAGUCAAGCUUCUACUGUGAGCAUCAUGGUGUGGACAGUAGGAAGGCGGUCCCAUUGUUUCCCGAGGCAGGAACAUUCCAGACUCUUCCUGGACAGAUAACUCCGGCUAAGUCAUGUCAUCCAGGCGGAUUUCAGAAAUGGCUCUCCCCCCAAAAGCAAAGGCAACUUAGAUGCCAGAUUGCUAUUUGUUGCCUCUCUCUUCAUUUCCAGGGCCGUUCCACACUUUCUAAAACAACCCCUUUCAAAAGCAGUGAUGAUACUGCUCAUUUGGAAUCUGUAAUUGUGGCUUUACUGAACUGCAUUUAAAGCAUAGUAUCUAAGAACAAAGACCAGUCACAGAUGCUGACUGCAAUCCAAACAAGGGUCAAGGGUCAGGGAGGCCUCUGGAGGCUAACUGCUGGUUAUAUGCAUGCUUUUGCUUGACAGCUUAAAGUUGAGUCAUCAUAAAUACUUGUGUAUGUAAAAAAAAAAAAAAAACCACCUUCUAAAGCAAAUUCAACUGAAAAUGUGAAAUUCUGAAUCACAUGUCCAUUAUAUAUGACCCAGUUUGAGAACUAAAUUAUUUUCUAGUUUUAUUUUACUCUGGAGAAGUUCAUUUUGGAAUCUUGGAUGAGUUUAUCUUCUUCUGUAUUAGGCUGGUGGAAAAAUCCACAUUAUUUCUUGAAUUUUUAAGACCGAGUUCAGCAAACUAUAAUCCAUGGGCCAAUUUUGGCCUAC